AGCGUACACGGUGGAUGCCCUGGCAGUCAGAGGCGAUGAAGGACGUGCUAAUCUGCGAUAAGCGUCGGUGAGGUGAUAUGAACCGUUAUAACCGGCGAUUUCCGAAUGGGGAAACCCAGUGUGUUUCGACACACUAUCAUUAACUGAAUCCAUAGGUUAAUGAGGCGAACCGGGGGAACUGAAACAUCUAAGUACCCCGAGGAAAAGAAAUCAACCGAGAUUCCCCCAGUAGCGGCGAGCGAACGGGGAGGAGCCCAGAGCCUGAAUCAGUGUGUGUGUUAGUGGAAGCGUCUGGAAAGGCGCGCGAUACAGGGUGACAGCCCCGUACACAAAAAUGCACAUAUUGUGAGCUCGAUGAGUAGGGCGGGACACGUGGUAUCCUGUCUGAAUAUGGGGGGACCAUCCUCCAAGGCUAAAUACUCCUGACUGACCGAUAGUGAACCAGUACCGUGAGGGAAAGGCGAAAAGAACCCCGGCGAGGGGAGUGAAAAAGAACCUGAAACCGUGUACGUACAAGCAGUGGGAGCCUCUUAAUGGGGUGACUGCGUACCUUUUGUAUAAUGGGUCAGCGACUUAUAUUCUGUAGCAAGGUUAACCGAAUAGGGGAGCCGAAGGGAAACCGAGUCUUAACUGGGCGUUAAGUUGCAGGGUAUAGACCCGAAACCCGGUGAUCUAGCCAUGGGCAGGUUGAAGGUUGGGUAACACUAACUGGAGGACCGAACCGACUAAUGUUGAAAAAUUAGCGGAUGACUUGUGGCUGGGGGUGAAAGGCCAAUCAAACCGGGAGAUAGCUGGUUCUCCCCGAAAGCUAUUUAGGUAGCGCCUCGUGAAUUCAUCUCCGGGGGUAGAGCACUGUUUCGGCAAGGGGGUCAUCCCGACUUACCAACCCGAUGCAAACUGCGAAUACCGGAGAAUGUUAUCACGGGAGACACACGGCGGGUGCUAACGUCCGUCGUGAAGAGGGAAACAACCCAGACCGCCAGCUAAGGUCCCAAAGUCAUGGUUAAGUGGGAAACGAUGUGGGAAGGCCCAGACAGCCAGGAUGUUGGCUUAGAAGCAGCCAUCAUUUAAAGAAAGCGUAAUAGCUCACUGGUCGAGUCGGCCUGCGCGGAAGAUGUAACGGGGCUAAACCAUGCACCGAAGCUGCGGCAGCGACACUAUGUGUUGUUGGGUAGGGGAGCGUUCUGUAAGCCUGUGAAGGUGGCCUGUGAGGGUUGCUGGAGGUAUCAGAAGUGCGAAUGCUGACAUAAGUAACGAUAAAGCGGGUGAAAAGCCCGCUCGCCGGAAGACCAAGGGUUCCUGUCCAACGUUAAUCGGGGCAGGGUGAGUCGACCCCUAAGGCGAGGCCGAAAGGCGUAGUCGAUGGGAAACAGGUUAAUAUUCCUGUACUUGGUGUUACUGCGAAGGGGGGACGGAGAAGGCUAUGUUGGCCGGGCGACGGUUGUCCCGGUUUAAGCGUGUAGGCUGGUUUUCCAGGCAAAUCCGGAAAACCAAGGCUGAGGCGUGAUGACGAGGCACUACGGUGCUGAAGCGACAAAUGCCCUGCUUCCAGGAAAAGCCUCUAAGCAUCAGGUAACAUCAAAUCGUACCCCAAACCGACACAGGUGGUCAGGUAGAGAAUACCAAGGCGCUUGAGAGAACUCGGGUGAAGGAACUAGGCAAAAUGGUGCCGUAACUUCGGGAGAAGGCACGCUGAUAUGUAGGUGAAGCGACUUGCUCGUGGAGCUGAAAUCAGUCGAAGAUACCAGCUGGCUGCAACUGUUUAUUAAAAACACAGCACUGUGCAAACACGAAAGUGGACGUAUACGGUGUGACGCCUGCCCGGUGCCGGAAGGUUAAUUGAUGGGGUUAGCGGCAACGCGAAGCUCUUGAUCGAAGCCCCGGUAAACGGCGGCCGUAACUAUAACGGUCCUAAGGUAGCGAAAUUCCUUGUCGGGUAAGUUCCGACCUGCACGAAUGGCGUAAUGAUGGCCAGGCUGUCUCCACCCGAGACUCAGUGAAAUUGAACUCGCUGUGAAGAUGCAGUGUACCCGCGGCAAGACGGAAAGACCCCGUGAACCUUUACUAUAGCUUGACACUGAACAUUGAGCCUUGAUGUGUAGGAUAGGUGGGAGGCUUUGAAGUGUGGACGCCAGUCUGCAUGGAGCCGACCUUGAAAUACCACCCUUUAAUGUUUGAUGUUCUAACGUUGGCCCGUAAUCCGGGUUGCGGACAGUGUCUGGUGGGUAGUUUGACUGGGGCGGUCUCCUCCUAAAGAGUAACGGAGGAGCACGAAGGUUGGCUAAUCCUGGUCGGACAUCAGGAGGUUAGUGCAAUGGCAUAAGCCAGCUUGACUGCGAGCGUGACGGCGCGAGCAGGUGCGAAAGCAGGUCAUAGUGAUCCGGUGGUUCUGAAUGGAAGGGCCAUCGCUCAACGGAUAAAAGGUACUCCGGGGAUAACAGGCUGAUACCGCCCAAGAGUUCAUAUCGACGGCGGUGUUUGGCACCUCGAUGUCGGCUCAUCACAUCCUGGGGCUGAAGUAGGUCCCAAGGGUAUGGCUGUUCGCCAUUUAAAGUGGUACGCGAGCUGGGUUUAGAACGUCGUGAGACAGUUCGGUCCCUAUCUGCCGUGGGCGCUGGAGAACUGAGGGGGGCUGCUCCUAGUACGAGAGGACCGGAGUGGACGCAUCACUGGUGUUCGGGUUGUCAUGCCAAUGGCACUGCCCGGUAGCUAAAUGCGGAAGAGAUAAGUGCUGAAAGCAUCUAAGCACGAAACUUGCCCCGAGAUGAGUUCUCCCUGACUCCUUGA
rnacentral:rRNA from 2 species